rnacentral:rRNA from 1 species
UACGGAGGGAGCUAGCGUUGUUCGGAAUUACUGGGCGUAAAGCGCACGUAGGCGGCUAAGUAAGUCGGGUGUGAAAACUCCAGGCUCAACCUGGAGACGCCACCCGAUACUGCUUUGGCUAGAGUCCGGUAGGGGAGCAUGGAAUUCCUGGUGUAGCGGUGAAAUGCGCAGAUAUCAGGAGGAACACCAGUGGCGAAGGCGGUGCUCUGGGCCGGAACUGACGCUGAGGAGCGAAAGCGUGGGGAGCAAACAGG